CUAUGGUCGAAAGUUGAUUAAAUCCAGGACAUUACCCCGGUGCAUCCUACAGAUGUCCGCCGCUUUGACCUGCACUACCCAGGAGAGCAGAGUGUGUGUCUGAAGGUGCAGAGUUCGGGGGACAGGCAGCGGUGGCUGGUGGCGUUGGGUUCAGCCAAAGCCUGCCUCAUAGACAAGCGCCCCGAGGCAGAGAUGGAACUGACGCAAAGCAACAACGAUCUGAGGGUGAAGAGGUCUGAGCUGCAGCUCUGCUGCCACCUGCUGGUGGAGCAGGUGCACGCGCUUCAGGGCUGUGUCCAGCCCUUGGAGUACCAA